UACGUAGGGUCCGAGCGUUGUCCGGAAUUACUGGGCGUAAAGAGCUCGUAGGCGGCUUGUCGCGUCGGCUGUGAAAACCCGCGGCUCAACUGUGGGCGGGCAGCUGAUACGGGCAGGCUGGAGUUCGGUAGGGGAGACUGGAAUUCCUGGUGUAGCGGUGAAAUGCGCAGAUAUCAGGAGGAACACCGGUGGCGAAGGCGGAUCUCUGGGCCUGUUCUGACGCUGAGGCGCGAAAGCUAGGGGAGCGAACAGG
rnacentral:rRNA from 1 species